UCUGGUGACAUUAGCGCAGUGGCACCACCCGUUCCCAUUCCGAACACGGCUGUGAAACGCUGCAGCCCCGAUGGUAGUACGGCGAUAGGCCGUGCGAGAGUAGGACGUCGCCAGAA
rnacentral:rRNA from 1 species